AAGGUUUUCAAUUGAAAAUCGUAGCUAUAGGCCUACUCAACAGUUUCAGCUAGCUAGCUAGCAGCGAGCUAGGCUACAGUCUAUGGAGUUUCAUGGUGGGCGCAGGGUUUUGUUCUGGGCAACAUCUUCACCCCUGAUUAAACUAGUUUGAGUGGUUAAUUACUUUAAUCCACAUGUGUCAAACUCCUACCAUGGGAGGUCCGAGUGUCUGCAGGUUUUUUCUCCACCCUUGAUUGAUACAUGAAGGUCACAAAUGACUGAAGGAAAUGCCCUCACCUGGUUAGGUUGUCCAGAUGUUCAUUGAAAUGAAAAUAAUAAUAAUAAUAACUUGCAGACACUCGGCCCUCUGCGGAAUGAGUUUGACACCCCUGCCUAAUAGAGAUAGUUCAACUUGUCUUUGCAAAGCCUUUCCAAAGACUGUUUUAGAUCUUGUGGAGAAAACAAUUCCGAACAAUGGAUGAGUUGGGACCACCAGACAGCAAUGCUCCCAUCCACAGUGAAUGUGUAUCUAUCCAAUGGUCAUCUUAUUAUCCAUCAUUCACAUUCUUUACCUUUGUGUACACCACCUGUAGUGUUUGUGAUGUAAUCCACUUACAAAUGAAGUACAUCUUAAGGCUCAGUUAAAAUGUUUUAUUAAAAUAAGUAUCCUACAUAUACAGCGGUGAAAUACAAUUCUAAACUUGUUCUAUUCUCUUUACUUUGCAGCUCCAAAUAAGACCCUUCACACCUACCACCCUUCUAUUCAGACCACUCAGACCUACACCUACCACCCUUCUAUUCAGACCACUCAGACCUACACCUACCACCCUUCUAUCGGACCACUCAGACCUACACCUACCACCCUUCUAUUCAGACCACUCAGACCUACACCUACCACCCUUCUAUUCAGACCACUCAGACCUACACCUACCACCCUUCUAUUCAGACCACUCAGACCUACACCUACCACCCUUCUCUUCAGACCACUCAGACCUACACCUACCACCCUUCUAUUCAGACCACUCAGACCUACACCUACCACCCUUCUAUUCAGACCACUCAGACCUACACCUACCACCCUUCUCUUCAGACCACUCAGACCUACACCUACCACCUUUCUAUUCAGACCACUCAGACCUACACCUACCACCCUUCUCUUCAGACCACUCAGACCUACACCUACCACCUUUCUAUUCAGACCACUCAGACCUACACCUACGGCUGACACCGUUACUCUCUCUCUCUCUCUCUCUCUCUCUUUCUCUCCAUCCUCUUGAUACAGAUCUCUUGAUCUAUCCUCUAGCUGCAUUUUAAAGUGUCCAGUGCACCAGGAGCAAACGAUUUUCCCUAUUCUCAAGAUUCUUGCCAAUAGAACUUCAAAGGAGGGUCAGGAGCAGAAAGUGAGGUGGAAGCCAUGCUCUGGGUGUGGCAAGAAAUGGGACGGUGACUGGAUCAAGGCCGAGGACCAGGUUUCUCCAGUUUAACCUACUUUAUGCACAAAUUUAUUCCUCACUCUCCCUUCACAUGUAUCCCUGUUAAUCAUAAAUGGUUGGCCAAAUUCGCCAUGAUUUACCAUUGAAACAUUCAUGGAGCAUCACAAUGCCAACCAUUUGAUCUCAAUCAGUUUCAUGAGAAUAUACAUUUAGAUAUUGAUAUAAAGUGAGCUACAAAAGUAUUGCAACAGUGACACGUUUUUGUUGUUGUUUUGGAUCUCUACUCCAGCACUUUGUAUUUGAAAAUAUACAAUGACUAUGAGGUUAAAGUGCAGUCUAUCAGCUUUAAUUUGAGGGUAUUUUCAUCCAUAUCUGGUGAACUGUUUAGAAAUUACAGCACGUUUUGUACAUAGCCCCCCCAUUUUAGGGGACCAAAAGUAUUGUGAUAUUCAUUUAUAUGUGUAUUAAAGUAGUCAGAAGUUGAGUAUUUUUGUAUUUUAUGUUUGCAUUGAUUCAUUUUACAAUGUUAUUAAAUAUAUAC